GGUGAUCUGCCCUGCACUUUGGGAUAAGCCUGGGAAACUGGGUCUAAUACCGAAUAUGAUCAUCGGCUUCAUGGUCGGUGGUGGAAAGCUUUUGCGGUGUGGGAUGGGCCCGCGGCCUAUCAGCUUGUUGGUGGGGUAAUGGCCUACCAAGGCGACGACGGGUAGCCGGCCUGAGAGGGUGACCGGCCACACUGGGACUGAGAUACGGCCCAGACUCCUACGGGAGGCAGCAGUGGGGAAUAUUGCACAAUGGGCGCAAGCCUGAUGCAGCGACGCCGCGUGAGGGAUGACGGCCUUCGGGUUGUAAACCUCUUUCAGCACAGACGAAGCGCAAGUGACGGUAUGUGCAGAAGAAGGACCGGCCAACUACGUGCCAGCAGCCGCGGUAAUACGUAGGGUCCGAGCGUUGUCCGGAAUUACUGGGCGUAAAGAGCUCGUAGGUGGUUUGUCGCGUUGUUCGUGAAAACUCACAGCUUAACUGUGGGCGUGCGGG
rnacentral:rRNA from 1 species